rnacentral:rRNA from 1 species
UACGUAGGGGGCAAGCGUUGUCCGGAAUCAUUGGGCGUAAAGCGCACGCAGGCGGUCUUUUAAGUUUGACGUGAAAGCUCCCGGCUUAACUGGGAGAGGUCGUUGAAGACUGGAAGACUUGAGGCAAUGAGAGGGGUGUAGAAUUCCCGGUGUAGUGGUGGAAUGCGUAGAUAUCGGGGGGAAUACCAGUGGCGAAAGCGGCACCCUAGCGUUAGCCUGACGCUCAUGUGCGAAAGCGUGGGGAGCGAACGGGG